rnacentral:rRNA from 1 species
UACAAAGGGAGCUAGCGUUGUUCGGAAUCACUGGGCGUAAAGCGCACGUAGGCGGCUCUUUAAGUCGGGGGUGAAAUCCUGGAGCUCAACUCCAGAACUGCCUUCGAUACUGAAGAGCUUGAGUCCGGGAGAGGUGAGUGGAACUGCGAGUGUAGAGGUGAAAUUCGUAGAUAUUCGCAAGAACACCAGUGGCGAAGGCGGCUCACUGGCCCGGUACUGACGCUGAGGUGCGAAAGCGUGGGGAGCAAACAGG